CUACAAAUUUGAUUACUAACUCUGUGUGAUGUUGCAGAAGCAAGGGGAACAGGUUUGCUAAAGUAAACAUGGUCACAGAACUAUAUUAGCCUUUGUGGUGGUUUGGCC
rfam:Picoides pubescens contig97073, whole genome shotgun sequence.